CAGUAGCCGCGGGAAUACGAAGGGGGCUAGCGUUGCUCGGAAUUACUGGGCGUAAAGGGAGCGUAGGCGGACAUUUAAGUCAGGGGUGAAAUCCCAGAGCUCAACUCUGGAACUGCCUUUGAUACUGGGUGUCUUGAGUGUGAUAGAGGUAUGUGGAACUCCGAGUGUAGAGGUGAAAUUCGUAGAUAUUCGGAAGAACACCAGUGGCGAAGGCGACAUACUGGAUCAUUACUGACGCUGAGGCUCGAAAGCGUGGUGAGCUAACAGGAUUAGAGACCCGCGUAGUCCCUGUCUCUUAUAC
rnacentral:rRNA from 1 species